UUGAACAAAGAUGAAUUAAGUUUUUCUACAAUGUGAGAUUUUGUGAGGAGACAGGAAAUAGCCUUUUAUUAACGUCUCAUUUUUCACAGUCAAACAUAAACACACAGUAUAAUUCUUUAAGAACAAUAUUUUCAAAGAGUUCAUACUUUAACAUUUUACCUGUUCUGACAGUUAGCACCUGACACAAAAAUAAAUGCAUUAUGUGGAUUUUGUUUGCUGUUACAUAGCCAGGAUGAUUAAAGUGGUUUACUUUCAACUGCAUAUUACUUAAAUUAUUGUUGAGCUGAAAAUAAGUAUUUUGGAACUUGGAAUAACUAAAAAAGCAGGGCUAUUAAGGACUGCAGAUGAUCAUCUACUUCCCCAGUGCUGACCUUUCAAAGGUAGGAUCCAUUACACCAUAGCUUUAAAUAUCAGGAAGGUAUUCCCUACGGAUGUGCUAGCAAGGAUUUUAUUCAGCAGGGUACCAGAGACUUGUGCGGCUGUACUGUAGUGGGCAUACGUGGCUGGUGAGAUGAUCAGACUAUUAGCUCAGCUCUUGUUCUUCAUGGGCAUUUCAGUGUGGUGAAGAAGGGAUUGUGUUUAAUAAACUGUAUGCUUGAGGUGUCCCUGAUCUUUUGCGUAGAGGUUCAAAACUAGGAGAAGUUGAAUUGUGGUAGCAUGCAGAAGACUAUUCAGAAAAGCGUGAUCAGAUGACUGCAGCGUUCUCUGGUGUGUACAGCUAGGGACAGGCAGUAGUGCGUUAUGAAGCCUAGGUCAGUGUUUCCUACGCUACAGAUUUCAGCUCAUGCCUCUUCCCAUUCAUUAUACAGACAUUGGUUCGUAGAAGCAGCAAAAUUGCUUCUGAUAAAUUCUUUGUGAUUCUAGGCAAAGUAUGAUUGGGAACAUUAAUAAUCACAUAUAGGAAAAAGUUAACUCUCCCAUCUGGUCAUAGGAUCUCUUCAACAUAACACUCUGUGUCAGGGAGCAAGCUUUAUUUGGGAGGUAUUCUUCCUUUAGUGGCUUGCCCUUAAACGAGCUGGGAAGGGGUGGACCCAGGGUCCCCCCUUCUGGUCAUGUGGGAAGCACAGGUAAAUUGCUUGCACCUGUGCUCCUUGAGCCAGCCACUCCACCAGGUGUUCAGUUAUCAUGAGCUUGGGCUGUGACCUAAUAGUUCCCUUACAAUGGGGAAAAAAAACUUACUUGGGUGUAAGGCACUAUGGAUGGAGAUACUAACGUGUAGAAACGUGACUUCCUACACAUAACCAGCCUACUGUAGGCAAUGGUACUGCAAAGAGGGAGCUUUACUGUGAUCAGAGCUCUUGGCAGUGAGCAGAGAUACAGCAGAUGAGGAGGCAGGAAGUUGACACAGGUGGUGGCGAGCAGUCAGCCAGGGACAGUGCUGACUUCUAUGGAAAAACUAUGUAUACAGAGGAGUCAGCAUUUAGCAGAAGACAGAGAAGAGCCUGGGUCCAGCAAGUACAUGGAAACAUUUCUGCCUGCAAAAUCCUACCACACAGAGAUAACCAAGAAAGCUGACUGUGGCUGUAAGAGAUCUUAGAUUUUAAACGUUUGGAAAGGGAUGUGCUACAGAAGCUAGUUCAGAGCUGUGCUGCCAGCCUUGGACACGGGUUUCUACAUGCAAAAAAAAUCCUAAAUAUUGAGAAUUUUUCUGACCAGUGAAAUGUCUUUCUGCUUUGUAUCCUGUUGUGUACACACCACAGUGUCUUCUGAGAGCCUGCUGCUGAGUGCCCUGUGAGAACACUGACUUAAUGGGACUGUUUUCAUUGGAAAAUGAUGUUUUCAGCUCAAAUUAGAAUAUGCAUUUGUUCAAGCAGGUCACCAACUAUCCAUAGAACAAACGAAAACAAGAACCUACCUUCUGUCUGACAUGGAUCUCAUGCUGCCUACACAUGCCUCUCAUGUUCAGCUCAUUUGUGUUUCUCUGCCUUCGUUUCAAGUAAUGGAUAGCUACUUUCUUCUGUGAGUGCCUUGAGGCUCAGUUGAAGUUUGAUACUGACUUUAUUGGAGCCCGAGUGUGAACAACAAAUGUACUGCUUAAGUAUUCCAAAAGGUAAGGCUCAGAGUUUCAUGUCUGUUUUCUAAUUGCUGUUCUUUCUUAUUCCCCUGCCUCCUUUCUUUAAUUUAUUUCAUUAAUAUAGUGGUUCUGUCAGUUCUUUUCCUUCUGCUUACGCCCAACACUAACUUCAGGCACAGGCAAAAUUGAGCAUGGCUGCCUGCUUGGCUUUAUGUUAGGGCUGUAAAUGGUUAUAGUGACUGAGACUGCUGCUGAGACUUUUCAGGAUAUGUAGGGUGAUAGCAAUAGUUGGAUGAAUAAAACAAGAUGAUAAAAAUCUUCUAUUUUGCUCCUGUUUGAUGUUUACCUUAGCUCUUCAUUCUGGUUUUGCCCUUCACAGUCUGGUAGCAAAAGUAAUUGGACCCCAUU